AGCGUAGGCGGAGCCGUAAGUUGGAAGUUUAAUACCCAGGCUUAACCUGGGGCUUGCCUCCAAUACUGCGGUCCUUGAGUAUGGAAGAGGGAGAUGGAAUUCCAGGUGUAGCGGUGGAAUGCGUAGAUAUCUGGAAGAACACCGGUAGCGAAGGCGGUCUCCUGGUCCUUUACUGACGCUGAGGCUCGAAAGCUAGGGGAGCAAACAGGAUUAGAUACCCUGGUAGUCCUAGCCAUAAACUAUGGAUACUAGAUGUUGGGGGAGUCAAUUCCUUCCAGCGUCGUCGCUAACGCAUUAAGUAUCCCGCCUGGGGAGUACGCUCGCAAGGGUGAA
rnacentral:rRNA from 1 species